AUGGGAAUCACCUGGAAUCUUGUUAAAAGGCAGCUUUUGAUUUAGUGAGUUAGGAGCGGGGCUGAGAGUCUGUGCAUCUAACCAGUUCCCAGGUGAUGCCUCU
rnacentral:miRNA from 1 species